GAGUUUGAUCCUGGCUCAGGAUGAACGCUGGCGGCGUGCUUAACACAUGCAAGUCGAGCGAUGAAGUUUCCUUCGGGAAAUGGAUUAGCGGCGGACGGGUGAGUAACACGUGGGUAACCUGCCUCAUAGAGUGGAAUAGCCUUCCGAAAGGGAGAUUAAUACCGCAUAACGUUGAAAGAUGGCAUCAUCAUUCAACCAAAGGAGCAAUCCGCUAUGAGAUGGACCCGCGGCGCAUUAGCUAGUUGGUGGGGUAACGGCCUACCAAGGCGACGAUGCGUAGCCGACCUGAGAGGGUGAUCGGCCACAUUGGGACUGAGACACGGCCCAGACUCCUACGGGAGGCAGCAGUGGGGAAUAUUGCACAAUGGGGGAAACCCUGAUGCAGCAACGCCGCGUGAGUGAUGAAGGUUUUCGGAUCGUAAAGCUCUGUCUUUGGGGAAGAUAAUGACGGUACCCAAGGAGGAAGCCACGGCUAACUACGUGCCAGCAGCCGCGGUAAUACGUAGGUGGCGAGCGUUAUCCGGAUUUACUGGGCGUAAAGGGAGCGUAGGCGGAUGAUUAAGUGGGAUGUGAAAUACCCGGGCUCAACUUGGGUGCUGCAUUCCAAACUGGUUAUCUAGAGUGCAGAAGAGGAGAGUGGAAUUCCUAGUGUAGCGGUGAAAUGCGUAGA
rnacentral:rRNA from 1 species